CAUGUGUCCUCCAUUCUCAGGGCUGUGCGGGUCAGCUGACCCAGGGCCAAGCCUCUCUUACUCAACACUGUCCAUCUAGCCAGAGCCCUCUUAGUUGGGGUCACAAGCCAAUCUGGAACCAAUUCUUAAGGCCAUGAACUGCAAUACAGGAAGUAGCUGGGGCCUGACUGAGCCUGCUUUUGCUGUAGCAAGCACAGAGCCUGGCCCAGACUUCCCCAGCUGAAAGGGGGAUAUAGUGGGAGUCUCCCUUCCUACCUAUACCCAGAGGGGAGGUGGGUGCUGGGGUGGCCUCCUACAGAUGCUUCCUGACCUCCACUGUGGCUGCUGCAGAGAACAGGUGUGUUAGCUUCCAGCUCUGCAUUUUUUUCUCUUAUUUGGACAAGUCAGGCGGUAUGAUCUGUGGCUGCCACACCCAGGUACGGUGACAGUGACAUGGUGCUGACACAUGAAUGCUGCAAGAGAAAGCCAAGUUCAAAGGCAGACAGAGGGCGUUCUUAUGGACUCAUCCAAGAUCUUCUCCUCAUUGACAAAGCCACCACGCCUCCCUUCACUGGAGAGGCAUUAGCGAGUUUCCCUUCUUAAAUAAAUGAAUCUACAACAGAGAAAAGAUAAACUUGAUAAGCAUUUGUUGGAAAUAGAAAUGGCUUCUUAAAGCCAUGAAUCUCUUACUUGGAUCCAUGCACCAGGAAGUCUGCAGAUGGUUUAUGGAGACUCUGUAAAUGUUAAAUUUUAUCCAAACAUCUUUGAGUUUGUAUGGAUUUUGUGGGGAGGAGUUUCCACAGUGUUUAUCAGAUGAGCAACGGGGCCUGUCACCACAAGAAAAGAUCAGAACUACUGCUGUGGACCAACAGAACACAGUAGCCAUGCUUCCUGUAUCCAUUCUACAAGCGGGCUCCUGGUGCCUGCUGGGUGCCAGGUGCCAGGGGCACACAUAGUCACCCUCAAUGUCCCUGCAUCUCUUGAGGGCCUGGAACUUGACCUAGUCAGAUAGGUUCCUCACACUUAUCUAAAAAGUCCACUCCAGCUCUCAGUGAGACUCUUGAGAUGCCCAGUUCUUCAUUUCCUGGACACCCAUGAUGCAGUGGGUCUCCAUAGCCCAACGUUAAAGCUCAUAGUCAGCAGGCCAAGCCCGACACUGCUGCUGCCCACUGGAGACCAAUUGCUUUCUAUAUACGAAACACACAAUGGUAUACGAAGAAAGUUGCAGAUGAAAAGAAUGGGCUAGCCUCACGAAUUUUUCUAUUGAUCACGUGUUGCAAUGAUUUCUUUUUGGUGUGUAUUGGGCUAAAUACAACAUGCUAUUAAAAUUAAUUUUAUUUGUGUCUUUU